GAAACAUUUGGUAUCCUCUUUAAUAUUACCGGCUAGCUCACUGAAGUGUUCCAUCUUUUCCUUCUUAAUUAUUUUAGUUGCAUUCUGUUGGUUUUUAAAAUCUUCUCAAUCCUUCAACAUACUAGUGAUUUUUGCUCUAUGCCCUCUCUUUGGUUUUUCUUAACAGCCACGGUUUUGUCACCUUAGCUUUAAAAUUCUACUUCCUCUUUGUGAUGCAUAGAAAUUUGAGGGGCGAAGAACAUCUCAGGCAGAACUGCAGUCAGCUCGACUUCUUCAGUCUGCAGGAAAUUCAAGGGGAACCUCUUCACCCACAGAGUGGUGACUGUUUGGAACUCAUUCACAUGGACAGUGAGAGGUGAACAACAGGGGAGGAUUUGAAAGAUCUGCUGUGGAACAGAAUCACUGGCAAGGUCCAGCCGGCCUGAGGUCUAGUCCCAUUAAAGGUGACUAUGCAGCAGAAGAAACUCCUCACAUGCCUGGUGAGCAGCAGCAAUAAUUGCAGAGUUCAGCACCGACACUCACUCUCGAAUUUGCAUUCAGCAACGCUGAUGAAUAAAUAUUCAGCAUGCAGCUCAUUGAAACGUUCUCCCAGUGUGAACCGGUAGUGUGUGAGGAGGACAAGACCAGAACAUAUGUGUCAAGGAAGCUACCUCGGAAUUACAUCCAUCAGAAACAGGAUUUAAUGGCAGUAAAAAUGAGCAAACUUAUCCUUGGACAUAUGAGCCCGAUGAACCACCUUAAAUUGCAUGAAGGCAUGUCUGACACACACUGAAGAGGUAUUUUCUAGUUCAAGAAUUUUCUCCCAUUUCUGUACAGGUAAAGGUAUCCCAAGUUCUCUUUUCCACUCAUUCUUAAUUUUAUCAGAAGUAUCCAAGUGUAUUUCAUAAUUAAAUCAUAAAUAAAUGAUAAUAAACUCUUCUGAUGUGGAUUUGAACUUUUUUCCCCCGUAACUUCAAUUUGAUGUGAUAUCGGAACAGAAGGUAAAAUAACAUUCAAAAAGUUUCUAAUCUGUAAAUAUCAGAAAAAGUGUGAUCUAGGCGAAUUAUAUAUAUUAGAAAGUUGUUCAAAAGAAAUAAAACAAUCAUCCAUAAAUAAGUCACGAAAACAUAAUUUUCCCUUUGUUUGCAAUAAAAGAAAAGCUUGAUCAAUUUAAAUGGUUGAAAGAAAAAAAAAUAGAUAUAAUAGAACUUGACAGUAUAUAUUUAUUUGGUCCAAAAACGUACCAAAAUUGAAACCAUAUUCCUAUUGUAUGCUUAAUUAUUGUAAUUACCAUUUGCUUAUUAAAUUUAGUAAGUGGAAAGGGAACCACAGCCCCUAACAUAGAAGCCAAUGAAAACUCCUGUCGAGACUCACGCUCAAGGUUCAUCCAACUCUUGUGUCCAAAACAUUAAAUAUCGAAUAUUAAUUGCCCGAUAAUAAAAACUAUGAUCCGGCAAAACCAAGCCGCCUUCCUUUUUUGAUUUCUGUAACUAUUUCUAAUUUAACCUGGGAUUUCUAUUCUGCCAUCCAUAUGCAGAAAUUUUAGAAUCAAUAAUAUUAAAAAAAUGUUAGAGAUAAAAAUUGAUACUGCCUGAAAUAGGUACUGAAAUUUAGGUAAAAUAAUCAUCUUAAUAGCAUUAAUGGAACCAAUCAAGGAUAAGGACAAUGGGGACCAUUUAGUAAACAAUUGUUUAGCCUGAUCAAUUAAGGGUAAACAUUAACUUUAAAUAAAUCGUUGUGCUUCUUAGUAAUUUUAACACCCAAAUAAAUAAAAUAAUCAGCAAGCAAUCUAAAUGGUAACUGUCUGUAAAUUGAGACUUGCCUAUUUAAUGGAGAAAGCACUUUUAUUAAGAUUCAGUUUAUAAGCAGAAAAACUACUAAACUGUGCAAGAUGUGUUAUUACUGCAGGAAUGGAUUACUCUGGAUUAGAAAUAUCUAGCGACAGGUUAUCUGCAUAUUGUGAUACUUUACGCGUCCCAUUCCCAUGAGUAACACCAAAUAUAUUGGGUGAAUCACGAAUAGCAAUUGCCAAGGGCUCCAGGCCAAUAUCUGAUAGUAAGGGACAGCCUUGUCUAGUACCUUGGAAAAGCCUAAAGAAAGGGGAUCUCUGAUUAUUAGUGAAACAGACGCCAAAGGUAUAUGUUAUAUCAAUUGUAUCCAAGAUAUAAAUUUUGGGCUAAAAGUAAAUUUCUCUAGUAUUUUAAACAAAUAUUCCCAUUCAAAUGUAUCAAACGCCGUCUCGGCAUCGACCGAGAUAACACAUUCUGGUGUCUUAGAUAAAGUCAUGUAUACAAUGUUCAUUAACCUCCAAACAUUAAAAUGUGUAUAAUGAUUUUUAAUAAAUCCUGUCUGAUGCUCGGAGACAAUUUGUGGCAAUAUCUUCACCAAUCUAAUUGCUAAUAUUUGAGAAAGGAUUUUAGAUACAACAUUCACAAAGAUAUAGUUCUGUCUGUUGCACAUUCAGUGAGAUCAUUUAUCAUUUUUGGGAAUUAAAUAAAUUGAUGCUUCAUAAAAUGUUUGUGGUAACUUAUGUACAAAUAAAGCAUCUUUAAAAAUUUUACCUAACCAGGGAGAAAGUAAACCGGAAAAAGAUUUUAAAAAUUCAGCUGUAUACUCAUCCGGACCAGGUGCUUUACCAGAAUUCAUUGAAUAAAUUGCUUUCUUUAUUUCCUCUUCAGUAAUGGGUGUGUCUAAUACUAAAUGUUCAUCAACUGAUAAUUUCAGAAUAUUUAAUUUCCUGAAAAAUUCAUGCAUUAUGAUAGAAUCCUCAGGAAAUUCUGAUUAGUAUAAAUUGGUAUAAAAUUCUUGAAAAAAUUUGUUAAUUUCGUCAUGGUCAACCGUCAAAGUACCAUCCUGUUUAAGAACCCUAUUAAUCUGAAGUUUCGCUAAAGCAGCUUUUAAUUGGUUAGCCAAUAAUUUACCCAAUUUAUCAACAAAUAUAUAAAGUAACUGAUUUUCAAUCAGGGAUGUUAAUAACAAAUGAUGUUGCAUCUGAAGUUCAACUCUCUCUUUAUAAAGCAUCAAAUGGGGAGCAAUAGAAUAAUUUCUAUCAAUUUCUUUAAUCUUAUCAACCAAUGUACGUAUUUCAUUAUUAAUUUGAAAUUAUUUUUUUUUUCAAUCCAGCAGAGUGUGAAAUAAUUUACCCUCGGAUAUAUGUUUUAAAGGCAUCGUGUGAUAUCCCACUUAAAAUUUCUUCCGUUGAGUUAGUUGAAAAGAAAAAAGCAAUCUGUUCUUUAAUGAAAUUAAUAAAAUUUAAGCCCUGAAGUAAAAUAGAG